rnacentral:rRNA from 1 species
UACGAAGGUCCCAAGCGUUAUCCGGAUUUAUUGGGUUUAAAGGGUGCGUAGGCGGGCUAUUAAGUCAGUGGUGAAAGCCCCAAGCUUAACUUGGGAACUGCCAUUGAUACUGAUGGUCUUGAGUACAUUUGAGGUGGGCGGAAUGUGUCAUGUAGCGGUGAAAUGCUUAGAUAUGACACAGAACACCGAUUGCGAAGGCAGCUCACUAAACUGGCACUGACGCUGAUGCACGAAAGCGUGGGGAGCGAACAGG